UACGGCAUGACGUAACGAAAACGGAAAGUGAACCACGGUUCUUUUGAAGACCCUGACCUGGAGUUACACGCUGACUUUAGUUCUUUGCGGGAAUGGAACCUGCUCUCGGGUUUCACGACUGGCUGUUAUUCGACCUGCCAGGGACGCGACCUAAGAGCUUUGCUCGCGUUUGGAGGUCCGAGAUCUCGUGGCUCUGCAGACGGGUGGAUUGAAGCUGUGCUCAAACUGCGUUCUUCAUGGGUGGUGGGUUAUCGCAAAGCUGCCUGGUGUUUCGUGAUUUCCAGGCGUGGCCUGGAAGAUGUGCUCCUUUGGGUGCAGCCCUGUGGAUGACCCAAUUCCUCGUCAAUGUCACCAACUGAAUUGUUGCGGGAGAUUGAAAUAUUGAGUCGAUGGGGGGGUGUGUGCAAUUGUCGGAAGCCCUGGCACUGAAGCAAUCUCUUCCCCUCUCAACGGUGUGAAAUUCUGUUGGUCUUCGAAUCAGGGGACUCAGACAGGCAACAAGGCAAAUUGGAACAUCAAAACAGUGAUCGCCUCUUGCUGUGGCAGGAGCAAUAUAUCUCUCCCUCGCUUGUGAAAGAGAGCCUGUCAGAGAUAUCAAAGUGUUGGGUUGGACAGUAGAUUUUGAUGGACUCUAGAUCAUGGUCUCUGGGGGCUUUGCAAUUGCUUGCAUGGAGGGUGGUGAGGAUUGAUGCUUUUGCUGCUGCUUGUGCA